rnacentral:tRNA from 1 species
GACUCUGUAGCUUGAAGGAGUAGAAGCGCCCGUCUAGCGAAUUGGGAGUCGUGAGUUCGAGUCUCACCGGAGUAC